rnacentral:tRNA from 1 species
GCGCCAUUAGUUUAGUGGUAAAAUGACUGCUUGCCAAGCAGUAGGCCCGAGUUCGAUUCCCGGAUGGCGCA